CCCUUAGACGUUCUGGGCCGCACGCGCGCUACACUGACCAGUGCAACAAGCAUCCGUCCUAGGCCGACAGGCCCGGGCAAUCUUUGAACGCUGGUCGUGAUGGGGAUAGACUUUUGCAAUUUUUGGUCUUCAACGAGGAAUUCCUAGUAAACGCAAGUCAUCAACUUGCAUUGAUUACGUCCCUGCCCUUUGUACACACCGCCCGUCGCACCUACCGAUUGAAUGGUCCGGUGAAGCCUCCGGAUUGGCGCGCACCUCGGUGCCGCCGAGAAGUUGGCUAAACCUUACCAUUUAGAGGAAGGUGAAGUCGUAACA
rnacentral:rRNA from 1 species